GACAGAGGGUGCAAACGUUGUUCGGAAUUACUGGGCGUAAAGCGCGCGUAGGCGGCGAUCCAUGUCAGGGGUGAAAUCCCGGGGCUCAACUCCGGAAUUGCCUUUGAAACGGGAUUGCUAGAGUCCGAGAGAGGAUGGCGGAAUUCCUAGUGUAGAGGUGAAAUUCGUAGAUAUUAGGAAGAACACCGGUGGCGAAGGCGGCCAUCUGGCUCGGUACUGACGCUCAGGCGCGAAAGCGUGGGGAGCAAACAGG
rnacentral:rRNA from 1 species